GCCGAAGUGGUGAAACAGGUAGACGCGCUGCGUUCAGGGCGCAGUGUCCGUAAGGACAUGGGGGUUCGAAUCCCCCCUUCGGCA
rnacentral:tRNA from 1 species